AGCAGCGUGGCUCAGUGGAAAGAGCACAGGCUUGGGAGUGAGAGGUCAUGGGUUCAAAUCCCAGCUCUGCCA
rnacentral:tRNA from 1 species